rnacentral:rRNA from 1 species
UACAGAGGGGGCAAGCGUUAUUCGGAAUUAUUGGGCGUAAAGGGCGCGUAGGCGGCUUUUCAAGUGACGGGUGAAAUCCCUCGGCUUAACCGAGGAACUGCCUGUCAGACUGGAAGGCUUGAGACCGGGAGAGGUGAGUGGAAUUCCCAGUGUAGCGGUGAAAUGCGUAGAUAUUGGGAGGAACACCAGUGGCGAAGGCGGCAUCCUGGACCGGUAUUGACGCUGAGGCGCGAAAGCCAGGGGAGCAAACGGG